rnacentral:rRNA from 1 species
CCCUUAGAUGUCCGGGGCCGCACGCGCGCUACACUGAAGGAAUCAGCGUGGCUUUCUCCCUGACCCGAAAGGGUUGGGAAACCCGUUGAAUCUCCUUCGUGAUAGGGAUUGGGGCUUGAAAUUGUUCCCCAUGAACGAGGAAUUCCCAGUAAGCGCGAGUCAUAAGCUCGCGUUGAUUACGUCCCUGCCCUUUGUACACACCGCCCGUCGCUACUACCGAUUGAACUGUUUAGUGAGGGCCUCGGAUUGGUCUCGGCCCGCUCUUUACCGGGCGGCGCCGUUGGUCGAGAAGACGCUCGAACUUGAUCGUUUAGAGGAAGUAAAAGUCGUAACA